GAUGAACGCUGGCGGCGUGCCUAAUACAUGCAAGUCGAGCGAACAGACGAGGAGUUUGCUCCUCUGUCGUUAGCGGCGGAUGGGUGAGUAACACGUGGAUAACCUACAUAUAAGACUUGGAUAACGUCGGGAAACCGGAGCUACUACCGGAUAAUAUAUUGAACCGCAUGGUUCAAUAGUGAAAGACGGUUUUUUUGUCGGUUAUAGACGGAUCCGCGGCUCAUUAGGUAGUUGGUAAGGUAACGGCUUACCAAGGCAACGACGGGUAGCCGACCUGGGAGGGUGACCGCCCACACUGGGACUGAGAGACGGCCCAGACUCGAACGGGAGGCAGCAGUGGGGAAUAUUACACAAUGGGCGAGAGCCUGAUGCAGCGACGUUGGGUGAGGGAAGACGGCUUUCGGGGUGUAAACCAAUUUCAGUGGGGAAGAAGCGAAAGUGACGGUACCUGCAGAAGAAGCACCGGCUAACUACGUG
rnacentral:rRNA from 1 species